GAUUAUGGCUCAGGAUGAACGCUGGCGGCGUGCCUAAUACAUGCAAGUCGAACGGAGUAUCUUCGGAUACUUAGUGGCGAACGGGUGAGUAAUACUUGAACAACCUGCCCCUUGACUGGGAUAACCGUCUGAAAAGACAGCUAAUACCGGAUAGGUAAUAUUGAGGCAUCUCGAUAUUAUUAAAGAUGGGUUACAUCACAUUGGGAUGGGUUCAAGUCGCAUUAGCUAGUUGGUGAGGUAACGGCCCACCAAGGCGACGAUGCGUAGCCGAUCUGAGAGGAUGAACGGCCACAUUGGGACUGAGACACGGCCCAGACUCCUACGGGAGGCAGCAGUAGGGAAUUUUCGGCAAUGGGCGCAAGCCUGACCGAGCAACGCCGCGUGAACGAUGAAGGUUCUUUGGAUUGUAAAGUUCUGUUACGAGGGAAGAACAUCUGGUAUAGGGAAUGAUAUCAGACUGACGGUACCUCGCCAGAAAGCCACGGCUAACUACGUGCCAGCAGCCGC
rnacentral:rRNA from 1 species